CUUAGUUAAAGCCCGUGCCACCAACCAAUUGUUAGGUAAAAAAAUUAAAUUGCGGAGUUAUAUGAAAUAGCAAGAAUUUAAAAAAUUUUGAAGUUUUUAGAAGUAAAGCUAAAAAAAAAGAUUACGGGAGCACCGAAGUCAUUUCGUUUUUAGUGAAUGAAUGAAACGGACUUAACAGCACGGGGAUUAUUUAAAAAUUAUAAAGAUAAAUACAAUUGCUUCUAGUUUGUAAUUAAUAAAAC